UCCAGCCUACGGGGCGCAGCAGUGAGGAAUAUUGGUCAAUGGGAGAGAUCCUGAACCAGCCAAGCCGCGUGAGGGAAGACGGCCCUAUGGGUUGUAAACCUCUUUUGUCGGAGAACAAAACCCGGGACGUGUCCCGGACUGCGUGUAUCCGAAGAAAAAGCAUCGGCUAACUCCGUGCUAGCAGCCGCGGUAAUACGGAGGAUGCGAGCGUUAUUCGGAUUUAUUGGGUUUAAAGGGUGCGUAGGCGGACUGGAAAGUCAGCGGUAAAAUCGAGAGGCUCAACCUCUUUCCGCCGUUGAACCUGU
rnacentral:rRNA from 1 species